ACAUGCAAGUCGAGCGAGAAGCUAAUGAACGCGACUUCGGUCAAGUGAAUUAGUGGAAAGCGGCGGACGGGUGAGUAACGCGUGAGUAACCUGCCUUAUGGAGGGGGACAACAGUUAGAAAUGACUGCUAAUACCGCAUAACAUAUAUUUAACGCAUGUUAGAUAUAUCAAAGAUUUAUCGCCAUAAGAUGGACUCGCGUCUGAUUAGAUAGUUGGUGAGGUAAUGGCUCACCAAGUCGACGAUCAGUAGCCGAACUGAGAGGUUGAUCGGCCACAUUGGGACUGAGACACGGCCCAGACUCCUACGGGAGGCAGCAGUAGGGAAUUUUCGGCAAUGGGCGAAAGCCUGACCGAGCAAUGCCGCGUGAGUGAUGAAGGCCUUCGGGUUGUAAAGCUCUGUUAUAGGGGAAGAAAAAGUAGUGAAUGCUACAUAUUGACGGUACCCUAUUAGAAAGCCAUGGCUAACUACGUG
rnacentral:rRNA from 1 species